rnacentral:lncRNA from 1 species
AUGCAAUUUGGGUUAAGAUCAAAGAGGGAACGAAAUCCAGCAACGAUCCAAUCUGAGAGUCUGGGCUAGAUGGUUUGAAAAUUGCAUAAUUUUCUAAAGGAGAGUCAGUUCCAGCUGAACCAAAAGAGGGUGGUUCCGGUAGUGAAGGUCUAGAUAGUGUUCUCAAAAUCGAUACACGAUUUAGGGCAUACUCACCUUUGACUCACAUGCAUAA